rnacentral:ribozyme from 1 species
GACUAUUUCUGCCCUGUAACGGGAUGGGAUCUGAAGCCUCCUGAAUAUUCCAUCCAACUCCUACUCCGACACGUCCGCGUCGUGCAGGGUAGUAACGCGGGCCCUAGUCCAGCCAUUCGGCCGGAUGAAGGCUCAUGGCUAAGAAGGAGCGGG